AGUGAGACCUGUUCGAGCGCCAGCUCGGAGUGUCGUCACACGACUUGUGAUAGUACUUCUGAACUGCACUGUAUCGACGGAUUUUGCACAUGUACUACAGCGCAUUCAGUGCGUUGUACUUCUCUACAAGAUUGCUUAAAUGUGGCCGACUGGGAUUGCACGCAGAACAGACGACAUUGCAUUGACAACGUUUGUAGAUGUGCUCGAAUUCACUAAUUAGACUGAUCAUUUCUUUUAAUAAAAGCUUAUAAAGGACAUAAAUAACAAAAACAU
rnacentral:misc_RNA from 1 species